AUUAGGGGUUUACUUUAUGAUGUAAUCUUAUUCUCUCCCAAAAAUAUAUAUAAUAAAUAUUAUAUAAAACUAAAAUAAAAAAAUGAAACAAAAAUUAAUAUAAAAAUUGAGAACUGCUACCCUUUGGCUUCUCAACUACGCCUUUGCGUUCAUGCCCCCUCUCACUCCCUCCUUCCGAUUGUUUUAUUUUUCUUCCUCUCCCCUCCCCACUUCUUUGACUAACACAAGGCCGGCGAACGCCCGUCUCCUACCAUCCAUCUCCCGCAUAAAACCGCCCUCUCUCUCUCUCUCCCUCAUUUCUCCUGCGCCCACGCUUUUUCCUCUCCUUUCGUCGCACUUCCAUUUCUCGCAAUUGAGAUCAAGAUGUAUAUCGGCGGCGGCGGCGGCAUGAGUCCGUCGUCUAUCGUGGUAUCCGCUGCGUGCGGCGUGGCGAUAUUGCGGAUCGUUCUAUCUCUAAAAUCUCUUAUUUAUCUGCUGGGACGGUGGUGGCGGUGGCUGGACGAGCGUGCGCAGGUCUACCAAUACUUCGAGAUACCCAAGUACAUAAAAGAAGGCGGCGGUAGCGGCAGGCAGGAGGAGGAGGAGAACCCGCUGUACCGGAAGGCGGCCGCGUACGUGGCGUCGCUGCCGUCCCUCGAAGACGCCGACGCGGCGGCGAUCUCCUCGUCGGCGCGCAAGCCCAACGACUUCGCCCUCCACCUCGCCCCGCGCCACUCCGCCCACGACUCCUAUCUCGGCGCCCGCCUCUCCUGGUCCGACGCCGGCGCCGGCGCCGGCGCGCUCGUCCUGCGCGUGCGGCGGCAGGACCGGACGCGGGUGCUCCGGCCCUACCUGCAGCACGUCGAGUCCGUGGCCGACGAGAUCGAGCUCCGGCGCCGCGGGCUCCGCCUCUUCACCAACUCCCCCGGCGGCGGGGGGGGCUGGAGCGCCGGCGCGGCGUUCGCGCACCCGGCGACGCUGGACGCGGUGGCGAUGGACGCGGAGCUGAAGGCGCGCGUCCGCGCGGACCUGGAGGCGUUCCUGAAGGGCCGCGCGUACUACCACCGGCUGGGGCGCGUGUGGCGGCGCAGCUACCUCCUCUACGGCGCGCCCGGCACGGGCAAGUCCUCGUUCGCCGCCGCCAUGGCCCGGUUCCUCGGGUACGACGUCUACGACCUCGACCUCGCGCGCGCCCCCGACCCCCGCGCGCUCCUCCUCCGCACGACGCCCCGCUCCCUGAUCCUCGUGGAGGACCUCGACCGCCACCUCGCCGCGCCCGAGCCCGAGCCCGAGCCCGAGCCCGAGCGGCGGCUGACGGGGAUCCUGGGCUUCAUGGACGGGAUCUUCUCGUGCUGCGGCGACGAGAGGGUGAUGGUGUUCACGAUGAGCGGGGCCGGGGGGAAGGAGACGCUGGAUCCCGCGGUCCUCCGGCCGGGGCGCCUGGACGUGCACAUCCACUUCCCGCUCUGCGACUUCGCGGCGUUCAAGACGCUGGCGAGCAGCUACCUGGGGCUGAGGGAUCACAAACUCUACCCGCAGGUCGAGGAGGGGUUCCAGUCCGGGGCCCGCCUCAGCCCCGCCGAGGUGGGCGAGAUCAUGAUCGCCAACCGGGGAUCCCCCAGCCGGGCGAUCAAGUCCGUCAUCAGCGCCCUCCUGCAGCAGCAGCAGCAGCAGGCGUCGAAUUGCGGGCCCAGAAGCAGCACCGUGGGGCGGAGGCUCAACGAGAGCUGGUCCGCCCGGAAAUUCGAUGAGAUCGCCCACGGGGACGGAGGACCGUCGGGGCUGGGGCUCUCCGGGGAGAACACAUUGAAGGAAUUCAAGAAGCUGUAUGGCUUCCUUAAGAUUAGGAGCGGCAGCAGAAAGGAGGGCACCAUUGCGGCCGCGGCGGCGGCGACAGCAGCCAAUGGCAACAACAUGAAUGGCGUCGAUCAUAACAAGGAGUGGUGAAUUUGAAAGGAAACUUCAGAAAUUUGGAUUACUCGGGAUAUAUUCUAUUUGAACAGAGAUACAUGGGUCAGAAGAGAUGGAAAGACAGAUGAAAUACAGAGAGGAGACUAGCCAACUAAGCAUCCCGCUGCGACGUGUAGAUCGAAAUUAUUCUUAGGUUCCCCUGUUAGAAGAUGUCUCGAACAGCACCAGCGAGCUGCUAAACCACCUGUUGAGUUGGACAACCGAUGGUAUGCUGUCGAAGCAGAACUCAGCAGCCGGAUCCACAUUGAAUUUGCAUAGUAGCAGUCUAAUAUAAGGUGCUCCAUUGUUUCAGAGCUAGAGUUGCAAAGCACACAAACAGAUGGGCCGUGCCAGCCGCGUUUAGCUAGGACGUCGGCUGUCAACAUCCUCGAUUUAGUGAUUGGCCGUGCCAGCCGCGUUUAGUGAUAUACUUAGUUGGUAGCAAAAACUAAGUCAAUUAAUGAGCAGAGCUGUACUAGAUAGUGCUCAGCAUGGUGUUCCUGUGCGACGAUCAUUUUUAGCCCAUUAAGUUCCUGCUUCAUAAUUUCCAAGAUGGUCUAAUUGUAAUUCGAACUUGUGUAGUUGCACUUAGUUCUGAAUUAGAAGUUGAUUGUUUUCUAUAGCAUUUUCGACAGAAUAUUCCGUAACUUUC